UUCACAAAUUCCUUGAUAUGAUUCUCCCCAAUAAAUAUCUGUGCAUCCAUUUCACCAAUUUAUUCCCUUUUUUUAAGUUUCCGAAACUGUUAUUAAUUUUAUGAUUUUAACAUUACAGAUCUGAAUCAUGUGUCUUUAAUUAAUUCCAUAUAGAAUUUCAGUGGUGCUUUUAAUCCAUUCAAGAAACUACUAGUAAUGAGUGGAGUCUUAAAAAGUUUAACAUAUAAUGAAUUAAAAUAUUUUUUCUCAUUAUUGAAUUGUAAUAUAUAAUAUGAAUCAUGCCCAGUGAUCAUUGAUCUUUGGAUUUAACAGAGUUCCAGCUAGGAAAGAAAUGAAAAAAAAAAAUACUUAUUUUCUAGUCAAUACGCAAGUCAACCAAGCUACAAUAACUUAUGAAUUUCCUAUUACUAUAUAUAAUUAAUAAAGCUCAUUAAUUCUUACACUUUAGGAGAACAAAGAGCAUAACUAGUUUUAACUUCUUCGGAUUCAUGAUAUCUGGAAAUUCUAUUACUUUCUGAGUGAAGCGAUCAAAAAGCUCAUCAACAAUUCCACGUCCGAAGUGCUGCUCAAUCAGAUCUCCCAAGAAAGCUCGUAACAUGGAGACAAAGUUGGAGGCUUUUGGGGUUGAAUAAAAUUCUUCAACUUUCAGUGUCUCAAUCCGCUCAAUACUGAGACUCUCAUUCUUCUCCAGGAUUUCCUUCAGAUUCUUUGCAGGUGAAUAAAAGAGAGGCAAAUUGAGUGAGUCAAUCUUUUUCUUCACCCACUCGUCCCUGCAUCAUCAUCCAUUGCAUGACAUGAAGAUUAGAGAAGUAAUUCAGACGGUUAAAGGCUUCUCAAUUACCACUCUAGCCAUGUCCAUGAGAGUAGAUCCAAGAAGCUCAUAAGCCCUAGAAGGAUGUAUAUCAGAUUCGAGAAUCACAUCAGGCACAGUAGCGAUCUGAAGCGCCAUUAGCCCAUUGCUCACAAGCUCUUGCGCUCUAGCAUGCAAAAAAUUCUCCAAGUCAGCUCUGUACUGUGCUAAAUACGCAUCUUCUACUUCCUUAGGAGCAUUUACGUGAUGACUCCUUCCUUUGUUAAAUGCACUGCAGCUUCUAUCUGCAAUCUCUUUAGGAACCCUAGAAAGCCAAUGAAGUGUUGAAGAUGAGUGGACAAAAUGGAGAGUUUUCUUUGGGAAUAAGCGUCCAAGGAAAGAGCCAGGAACCCCAGAAGCGAAGUAGUUUCUAUUUGGAGGAAGCUGCUUGAAGAAUGUGUUGAAGUUAUUUGAAACUUGGUCGUUGAAGAAGACAUGGAAUUCUGGGAUUUGAUGAGCAGAAAGCUUCUGAGUUUUGUAAUAAUAUUAUUUUUCUAUCAAUUCUGUUAUGGUUUGCAUUGCAACAAUGGCAUUAGGCCCAGUGGAGCAGCCAAGGUCAGCAAUCCGAAUGACGUUUGUAGGUCCAAUGUAUGUCAUGGGAUCAAAGUUCUUGACUAUUGCUUCCUCAAUCAGUUUUUUGUUAGCUUCAAAAACUUCUCCCUGUAGAAAAAAGACACGCAAUAUAAUUAAAUGAUAAGUUUGAAAUCA